GCCUACGGGGCGCAGCAGUGGGGAAUAUUGCGCAAUGGGCGAAAGCCUGACGCAGCGACGCCGCGUGAGGGAUGAAGGUCUUCGGAUCGUAAACCUCUGUCAGCAGGGAAGAUAAUGACGGUACCUGAGUAAGAAGCCCCGGCUAACUACGAGCCAGCAGCCGCGGUAAUACGUAGGUGGCGAGCGUUAUCCGGAAUGAUUGGGCGUAAAGGGUGCGUAGGCGGCCUGCUAAGUCUGGAGUGAAAGGUACCGGCUCAACCGGUACAGGCUCUGGAAACGGGCGGGCUAGAGAGCAGGAGGGGGCG
rnacentral:rRNA from 1 species